rnacentral:rRNA from 1 species
UACGGGGGGGGGCAAGCGUUGUUCGGAAUUACUGGGCGUAAAGGGCUCGUAGGCGGCCAACUAAGUCGGAUGUGAAAUCCCCAGGCUUAACUUGGGAACUGCAUCCGAUACUGGAUGGCUUGAAUCCGGGAGAGGGACGUGGAAUUCCAGGUGUAGCGGUGAAAUGCGUAGAUAAUCUGGAGGAACAUCGGUGGCGAAGGCGGCAUCCUGGACCGGUAUUGACGCUGAGACGCGAAAGCCAGGGGAGCAAAACGGG